GUCGAACGCUGGCGGCGUGCCUAAUACAUGCAAGUCGAACGCAGUGGGGCCGGGUGAGUAACACGUGGGUAACCUCCCAUCAGAGGGGAUAACACUUGGAAACAGGUGCUAAACCGAUACAGAUGGAUGGACCCGCGGUGCAUUAGCUAGUUGGUGAGGUAACGGCUGACCAAGUCAACGAUGCAUAGCCGGCCUGAGAGGGUGAUCGGUCACACUGGGACUGAGACACGGCCCAGACUCCUACGGGAGGCAGCAGUGGGGAAUCUUCGGCAAUGGGCGAAAGUCUGACCGAGCCACGCCGCGUGAGUGAAGAAGGUUUUCGGAUCGUAAAGCUCUGUUGGUAGAGAGGCGUUAUCUAACCAGAAAGCCACGGCUAACUACGUGCCAGCAGCCGCGGUAAUAC
rnacentral:rRNA from 1 species